UUACAUCAUGUACGGAAAAUAGGAGUAGUAUUAUAGUACAAACGCAACUGGAGAGAUGUUGGCAAUCAAUAAAGUCCAACUUGGCAAUGCCAGGUCAAAUCUAUUAUCAGCAGAAAUCAAUGCUCUGCUUUCUUUCUGUAAAGUAGAUAUGCAUUCAGAUACUUCCAUCUUCAGAAGGAUUUGACUAGGUAUCUCAAAGAAAAAGGAUAUUGCCGCAAUUACGGAUAAUUAGUUGACUUUAACAUGUUAGUGUGCCAUGUGUGCCCUAUGGAUUUCACAAUGGACAUUUUCAUAUGGUCGAUUUGACUUUCACCCACAAAAAAAAAGAUUUGACUUGCGAUUUCUUCAACCCCGGUAGACGAGUUUCCAAAUUUUCUAAAGAUUCAGGUUGAGUAAAAAACUGAAGUCAACUUUAUCAGAUAAUUACUAGCCAAUAGUCCUUGUCUUUGUGUACAUACUGGAAGCUAAGCAUAAGUUUUUCUUGAGAUGUAUUGAACUUGCACAUGAACCAUUUUUGUAGCAAUCAUCAUUGUCAACUCCUCGAUCCUCCUGUCCUCUGUUCCCAAAACGCAAUAUCCAUGUCAUCUCUAACUGCAGGGCUUCAAUUCGACAUCUGAGCAAAGUCUGCUAACUGCCAUCAUAAACAUUUCAAGCCUACCAAUCUCAGCCCAAGGCGCUACCGACGCACGGGCGCCGCCGCGGCGGCCGAAUCGCCGGAGAAGGUAGGACCGUCAGCGGAGCGAGAGGGGAUCCGGGGGCAGCGGCUAGGAGGGUGAUCUGGAGGCUAGCGCGGGAUCCAUGGCGGCGGUGCGCGCGGAGAUCGCCGGCGGGAGCGCGGGCCGUCAGCUGCUCCGUCGCCGGCCCUCGGACUCUGUUCUUUGAAGAAUCAGUGCCGCAUCCAGUUCUUUUGAGAAAUUUUGAGUUCAAAAUUGGAUCUUUCUGUAUUCAAGGUUGUGAAUUCCACACGCAAUCGAUCGAUUUUCUCCGUUAAGAAAAAAACAGUCGAGGUUCCAAUUUUCAGCAAUUAGCAUGAUCCCGAAGUAUCCUC
rnacentral:lncRNA from 1 species